CUAGAAAAAUACAAACUAAAGGAAACUUUAGGUCGUAAAAGCACCUGUUGACCGCUAACAGUCUAUGGCAGCGGGGUUAUUAAGG
rnacentral:ncRNA from 1 species